UUGUUUAUUUUCCUCUUUCCAGAAUCAUCUGCAUUUUCCGAUUAGCAUUUCACUUGUGUAUAAUAUGGGAGAAAAUUAUAGGGUCUGUGCAUCACUAUAUAGUGGGGUCCUGACUUCCCAGUCCAUGAACUGGAGCCAUGGGUUUGUUGUCCACACCACUGAUCGGAUUCGCUCCAUCGCGGAUGGCAGACGUGCCUAAACUAAAGACUCCCAAUUUUGAUGGACCUAACCGUUUGAUUAGCGCCCCACAAGUAGACAUGGGUAAGAAACAAAUGCGGCAGUUGUCCAGGAAAAAAAAGGGUGAAUGGUUUGUUGACUAGGAUCUUCCAACAGUCUAGAUCACUGAGAAUUGGGCCCAAUGUUAUUCACUAGGCCUAUGUCAGGACAACAUUCCCUUUGUGAUUUAUCAGGAGCAUAAUAUAUAGAUGAUACCAUUAGAGGUGGUAGUGGAUCAGGUUGACCAGUGUCCAGCUCUCCGACCUACAUCUGAGCUGGGUUUGGGCCGUGCUAAGCAGUUAGUGGGUUGGAUUUGGGCCAAAACUUUUAGUCCAUUUAGGUAAACAGGUCGGGCUUGGGUUGACCCCUCAGGCUCUAUCUGUUGCCACCCAUGGAUGCCAUAGUGCUACUAGAUUAAGUACUAAUUUUCAUUUGGGAAGUUGCAAACUGAAGUGUGUUUAUAAAGUAGAUUGGGGGUCUGAAGUCAAAAUUUAGGGUGUCUCAAAAUUAUGCAGAAUUCACAGGCAACACAAUUCAUGGAUAUGAAUGCUCGCUGAGCAUUCCUGUAUCCCACUGUUUUGUUCAGGAGCUUCACAUUCUCUAAUGCAUUCUAACCUUCUGAUCUUUGAAGGUGGUCUUGUGCAUGCCAGUCCAUGUAAAAUUGAGCUCCCUCCAAUCCAAUUGUAUUUCAUUUCUUACAGUUGUUUCUUAUCAUCUGAUUUUAGUUUCUCUGUGUUCUAUUUCAAAGCCAUACUUUUAAUAGUUCUCAGCUUCCAUGUCCAAUGGCUUUUAGGUUCCCAUCAACAUCAAUCUGUUGUACAACCAAACUCUGUACUGAUAGGUCAUGUUCCUCCAACUGAAAUGAUUCAGUGGAGUUGUCUUCAUUGAAAUUCACAUAUAGUCUACCUUCUCCAGUUCACAUGGUAAGGUCCAUUCGGUGCCCCUUACCAUGGAUGGCCAAAGGCUGAGAAACCAUACUUUAUCAGUACCCAUCUGAUCAAAGGGCCUCUAAAUUGACAAACUGUAUAGUUAUUGGCCAACUUUCAGCAUCGGAAACUGGGGGGAAAUUGAUGGCUAGGAUCGUCUGAUCAUUGAUAGUUUUUUGAAAUUUAACCAUCUACACUGGGGCGAACUAAAUGUAACGGGUGGUUGUAUGAAAGAUUCAGUGGAGACGAAUGUACUGGAUGAUUUCCUGGUUCUCCAAACCUGUGUGAAACGCUUUCAGGGUUCCUAGAGCCACUAAGCAAUGCCGAAGUCUGGAAAACCAAAUCCAGCCUGCCCUCCUAUGGUCAAGCUGCUUCCCACAACCAUUGCCUUUUGGACUAGUGAUCCAUCUAUCUGUUGGGCCCCCCACCAUUGCGGAGUGUGCAUGGGGCAUGUCAAGCGCGCAGCCCAGGAAAGGAUUUUGAGACUCUUCUCUGAGAGGAAGUCUUCCAUUCCAUCAAGCAAUUUGCUCGGUCCAACUGUUCAUGUGGGGCCCACUCAUAGAUGGGAAGUGAUCCAAUCUCUCCAACUGCCACCUAUCUGAUGGAUAUGAUCAUCCUGUAGGGGAGAAAUUGGGUUCACGAUCGGUUUAGCCAGAUGAAUGGCUUAGACUACAGUUGCUGGGUUGAACAAAAAAAUGCUGUCACCUUUCUUUCAUGGAGCCUACAAUGGAAUACUU